rnacentral:rRNA from 1 species
UACGUAGGGGGCUAGCGUUGUCCGGAAUCAUUGGGCGUAAAGCGCGCGUAGGCGGCCCGGUAAGUCCGCUGUGAAAGUCAAAGGCUCAACCUUUGAAUGUCAGCGGAUACUGCCGGGCUAGAGUCCGGAAGAGGCGAGUGGAACUCCUGGUGUAGCGGUGGAAUGCGCAGAUAUCAGGAAGAACACCAACGGCGAAGGCAGCUCGCUGGGACGGAACUGACGCUAAGGCGCGAAGGCGUGGGGAGCGAACAGG